AGUUGUUGUGACGUGCCAACACUUAACAUUGGCUGGCAAAAACCAACUGCCUGUUCAGGUUUUUCUCAAAAAGGUCAUCUUAAGAUUUCAACAUUUAAACACAGUAUUUUCUGCAGCCUGGCACAGCUGGCUGAGUGGACGGUCGCCGAUUCAAGUACAGGCCAGAUCACUGCCGAAGGGGGCCAUGAGCAGGGCCCUAAACCCCAAACUGCUUCUCGGACUGGACGCCAGCUGGCGACGCCUCGUCCCAGUUCCUCAGCUCGAGUCUCAGACGUAAAUGAUGGAUCUGUGUUACUGCGAACAGGCCCUGACAAGGCGGAGUCAAAGUCCAAAUGUCUCCAGGGUCCCAGAAGAUGAUCACACCUCGGUGAACUGGUGGACGACAGACCUUGGUCCUCAGCAGCUUCUGAUAUCCAUGGUCCCCAGAGGAUGAAUCCUUCUGACUUUGGAACCGGACCUCCUCCGAACAGUCUGCAAGAACGAGACUGAAGAUCCACUGAGGUGAUGCAACACUGCUUCUCUCUCUUUCCACUCUCACGCCCCCUCCCUCUCUCACAUUCCCAGGAUGCAGCACGCCAGUGCAGAUAAAGUUAGCACUGCAGAAGUGACAACGCGUUGUAACCGUUACCCGUCACCGCAGCCUCCCCCUAAUGACGCAACCCCGGCCUCCAACCCUCCCUAUCUGGUUUAUUAUCUGGUCGUGUGUCUGUGGGAUGCUAGGCAACAUAAACACAACUAAAUAUAACAGCCGAGCUGUAAUAACUUUCCAGUCGCUCCUCAACCGGCUCUGAAUAUAAACUCCUUAGUGAAUUAAGAAGAAGUAGUUCGGCUUCAGGUUCAGACUUUAAUCUUGAGUUUAAUAAAACAAAAGUCUACUGACAAAGAAUAAGUAGACGGACCACCAGUUCAAGGUACAAGAAAGUGAGACAGUGUCAGAUUAACCCUCAGAGUUCUUUAAUACAGUGGAAUACAUGACAUUUGGUUAUUUUUCAUCACUUUGGAUCAUAGUGCACUAGUUUAAACACACAAAGUGGCAUGCAUAUCAGAGAGUAUCCCCAUCUGUGAGCUCAGUAUUCACAAUGUUACUCCAUGAUUAAGCUCCAUACACAAAGUCAAAAUCCUGUCUUCUGACCGGUUACUCGGCAGUGGGUGGUGUCUUCUGAGGCGUCUUCUGUCUGCUCAGAAAGAAACGUAACGUGCGGAGUGCUGAGUUCACAAAUGAGCUUAUCACUGAAAGAGAAACUUCAACAACAGAGUACCUUGUUAAUUGUAUAUUAUAGCUUAUUGGCAUCAUAUCAUUAGAUAUACUGUACAUCAUUUGUAGAGCUACAACUAAUCUGCAGACUGUUUUUGUUGAUGAAUCAUUUAAAGCAACAAUAAAGUCCUGUAUGAUAAUAAGUAUAGAUUAGACAGUCCUGUGUGAGUGUUUU